AAGACCUUGCGCUUUUGGAGCGGCCGAUGCCUGAUUAGCUUGUUGGUAAGGUAAAAGCUUACCAAGGCUUCGAUCAGUAGCUGGUCUGAGAGGACGACCAGCCACACUGGGACUGAGACACGGCCCAGACUCCUACGGGAGGCAGCAGUGGGGAAUUUUGGACAAUGGGGGCAACCCUGAUCCAGCCAUGCCGCGUGAGUGAAGAAGGCCUUCAGGUUGUAAAGCUCUUUCAGCCGGAACGAAACGGUUACGGAUAACACCCGUGACUACUGACGGUACCGGAAGAAGAAGCACCGGCUAACUACGUGCCAGCAGCCGCGGUAAUACGUAGGGUGCGAGCGUUAAUCGGAAUUACUGGGCGUAAAGCGUGCGCAGGUGGUUUUGUAAGUCAGAUGUGAAAGCCCCGGGCUCAACCUGGGAACU
rnacentral:rRNA from 1 species